GGCUCGGCGGUCUAGGGGUAUGAUUCUCGCUUAGGGUGCGAGAGGUCCCGGGUUCAAAUCCCGGCCGAGCCC
rnacentral:tRNA from 1 species